CACAGAAGACUUCUGUGACCACGUGUAAGAAGUGUUUCUCUCCACCACCAAGCAAGCAAUCAAGUCUGCGGUGGACACCCACUGGGUGGCUCCAAUUCACCUCCAACACUAUCUACCUGGAGAUAGCGACAGAUCCCACAGGUUGACGGCUCUGUCCCCAAGGCUGGCCCCCACCGCUGCUGGACACCAGCUGAUUAUAAAGGAUAUUACAGAUGAAGAGAUGCGUAGGGUGAGGAACAUAAAGGGAUUUUCCCUGUCUUCACUCUGAGAACCUAGUAGAGCUCCAGAAGAGUGUGCCUAAUAAUAAGAGCAAACCCCUGCCACAUGCCAGAUGCAGUUCUAAACGCUUCAUACAAAUGGACUCAUUUAAUCUUCAAAACAACACUGAGAGG